rnacentral:lncRNA from 1 species
AUGGCUUGGCGGAGACGGCCCGUGAUGGGAGAAGGGCUCUCUGGGCACCGGGGGCAAGACUGCAGCCAGGCCUGGCACUGGGCGGGAUGGCGGCCUGGGAGACACACGUGUCUCUAUUUCUGUCUCUGUCUCUUUGUCUCUCUCUCUUUCUCUUUCUGGGUCUCUGCCUUGGUCUCUCUGUCUCACUCUGAUUCUGUCUCUGUCUCUGUAUUUUUUUCUCUCUUGGUCUGUCUCUGCUUCUCUCUUCUCUGUCUCUCUGUAUUUUUUCUCUCUCUCUAUUGGUCUGUCUGUCUCUGCUUCUCUCUAUCUCUGUCUCUCUGUAUUUUUUCUCUCUCUCUCUAUUGGUCUGUCUGUCUCUGCUUCUCUCUAUCUCUGUCUCUGUAUUUUUUCUCUCUCUCUCUAUUGGUCUGUCUGUCUCUGCUUCUCUCUGUUUCUCUGUGUCUCUGUUUCUCUUGGACUCUGUCUGUCUGUCUGACAGGGUCAUCAGAGCCUGAACAAGCCCCUCUCCCAAUGACUUUCCAGGUGGUGAAAGGCCUGCAGCAGGCACCCUGGAUGGGAUCAGCUGCUCCGCUCCAUGAGGCUCCCAGUGCCAUCUCAGCAGGUCUGCGCUGCCUCAGGUCUGAAAUGAUGUCUUCUCUCUCCUGUUUUGUGAGCGGCUCGUUCUGCUGUCAAAUAGGCCCUUUCCCCAGGACCCUUGGGGUCCAGCAUAGGAUCUGA